rnacentral:rRNA from 1 species
UACGAAGGGGGCUAGCGUUGCUCGGAAUCACUGGGCGUACAGCGCACGUAGGCGGCUUCUUAAGUCAGGGGUGAAAUCCUGGAGCUCAACUCCAGAACUGCCUUUGAUACUGAGGAGCUUGAGUCCGGGAGAGGUGAGUGGAACUCCGAGUGUAGAGGUGAAAUUCGUAGAUAUUCGGAAGAACACCAGUGGCGAAGGCGGCUCACUGGCCCGGUACUGACGCUGAGGUGCGAAAGCGUGGGGAGCAAACAGG